GAUGAACGCUGGCGGCGUGCCUAAUACAUGCAAGUCGAGCGAACAGACGAGGAGCUUGCUCCUCUGACGUUAGCGGCGGACGGGUGAGUAACACGUGGAUAACCUACCUAUAAGACUGGGAUAACUUCGGGAAACCGGAUCUAAUACCGGAUAAUAUAUUGAACCGCAUGGUUCAAUAGUGAAAGACGGUUUUGCUGUCACUUAUAGAUGGAUCCGCGCCGCAUUAGCUAGUUGGUAAGGUAACGGCUUACCAAGGCAACGAUGCGUAGCCGACCUGAGAGGGUGAUCGGCCACACUGGAACUGAGACACGGUCCAGACUCCUACGGGAGGCAGCAGUAGGGAAUCUUCCGCAAUGGGCGAAAGCUUGACGGAGCAACGCCGCGUGAGUGAUGAAGGUCUUCGGAUCGUAAAACUCUGUUAUUAGGGAAGAACAAAUGUGUAAGUAACUAUGCACGUCUUGACGGUACCUAAUCAGAAAGCCACGGCCAACUACGUG
rnacentral:rRNA from 1 species